rnacentral:rRNA from 1 species
UACGUAGGGUGCAAGCGUUAAUCGGAAUUACUGGGCGUAAAGCGUGCGCAGGCGGCUUUGCAAGACAGAUGUGAAAUCCCCGGGCUCAACCUGGGAAUGGCAUUUGGGACUGCAAGGCUUGAGUGCGGCAGAGGAGACUGGAAUUCCUGGUGUAGCAGUGAAAUGCGUAGAUAUCAGGAGGAAUACCGAUGGCGAAGGCAGGUCUCUGGGCUGACACUGACGCUCAUGCACGAGAGCGUGGGGAGCAAACAGG